rnacentral:rRNA from 1 species
UUUCGCAAUGCCCGAAAGGGUGACGAAGCGACGCCGCGUGAGUGAGGAAGGCCUUCGGGUUGUAAAGCUCUGUCAGGAGUUAAGAAAUAUAAGUGUGUUAAUACCACAUUUAUUUGACGAAGGCUCCAAAGGAAGCCACGGCUAACUCUGUGCCAGCAGCCGCGGUAAUACAGAGGUGGCAAGCGUUGUUCGGAAUUAUUGGGCGUAAAGAGCACGUAGGUGGGUUUGUAAGUCAGAUGUGAAAGCCUUCUGUUCAACGGAAGAAUUGCAUCUGAAACUGCGAGUCCUGAGUGUAGGAGGGGAGAAUGGAACUUCUGGUGGAGCGGUGAAAUGCGUAGAUAUCAGAAGGAACGCCGGCGGCGAAAGCGAUUCUCUGGCCUAUUACUGACACUCGGUGUGCGAAAGCUAGGGGAGCAAACGGGAUUAGAUACCCCGGUAGUCCUAGCUGUAAACGAUGGGCACUAAGUAGAGGGGUUUUA